rfam:Oryza glumipatula chromosome 9, whole genome shotgun sequence.
AAUAAAUCUUGGUUUCCAUGUCCAACGUUUGAUCUUCCGUCUUAUUUAAAAAAAUUAUGAAAAAAAUUAAAAAGACAAGUUACGUAUAAAAUAUUAAUCAUGUUUUAUCAUCUAACAACAAUAAAAAUACGAAUUAUAAAAAAAUUUCAUAUAAGACGGACAGUAAGAGUUGGGCACGCAAACUUAGGGUUUGCCUUUUU